GAUUCACAGCAGAACACAGCACUUCAAGUGGUUACAUCCCAAACUUCUUCAAAGUGCUCCACUGUAAAGCAAGCUGGGAAGGUGAGGAGCAAGUGGACAGGUAAUGAAGUGAAGGCUGUGGAGCGGCACAUGAUUCAUUUCAUGACCAGCUGCAAGGUGCCAGGUAAAAAUGACUGUGACUCCUGUCUCCAGGCAGAACCAGUGGCUCUGAAAGACCGAGACUGGGCUGCAAUCAAAUACUACAUUCACAAUAGAAUCGUAUCAACGAAAAGGAAAAUGUAUAGAUAGAGGUUCCCAAACCUGUACUGGAGUACCCCCAACACUGCACGUUUUCUUUGUCUCCCUAAUCAGGUGUGUUUGAUUAGGGAGACAAAGAAAACGUGCAGUGUUGGGGGUACUCCAGUACAGGUUUGGGAACCAAUGAACUAGAACAAGCCAACUGUGGCUGAGGGGCAAUUUAAUUUCUGUUGAACUUGGUUAGAAAAAUGCUCACUGUGGACUGUUAUAGUCACCUUACAUAUCCAGUGAAAAUGAGUUUUGCUUUGAUAUUCUCAUUUUAAUUCAAGGAUUGCCAUUGAUGUUUUCUUGUACAAGCAUGUUACAACCUAGUUUUGACUGAGGCUGCCAUGUUGACAUGUAUUCAUGAGGGCUAUUAAUGAUAUGUUUUCUUUUAUCCCCAGCUUUCAGACACUUUUUUUAUUUUCUCACUACCUCUGGAUCAGAUCAUAAUGCAUUGUUUCAAGUAACCGACAAUCUCUUUCAUAGAAUAAGGUUUAAAAGUAUAUGUAAUCUAUACUUUCUGUGUCAACAAGCAAGUACUUUAAGGGAUUGUUACUUUCAAACAUAUUUCUCAAGUUUUCAGUGUUUUGUUUUAGACGCUAAAGAGAGUAGUUCUUUCAUUUAAAAUAAGCUGUCUUUUGUAUUGCCUUAUCCUGUAUUGUGGCUGGUUGUUCAAUGCUUUAAAAACAUUUGAUGAGGGUUGCCAUUUCU